CCCCUAAAUCUCAAGUCAAAAGACCAAUUAGGUUUUAACAAGUAUUUUUUUUUCUCUUGCCCAAUCUGUGUGAGAGUGUCGUUUGUGUGACUGUGAUAACAAAAGUAGAUAGUCUAGGUGUCGACUGGGAAUGAAAUAACGUGGCAGGUGAGAUUAUCACAUUCCAUUUGACUUUAUUGCCGGUUUAUCUAGAUUUAAAAUGACGCCUGAAAUAAGCUGAGGAGAAAUAGAAAGAUGGUCAUUGCGGGAUAAAAGCACAAUUCCGUCUUAUACCUUACUCCAGAUAUAUAGAUUACGAAACAUAACCUUGACCUCGUCAGGACCUACUUGGAAUGAGUUCUAAAGACUAUCACGUGGACAGUCAUCAGGCUGGCCACUCACCAUCGAGAAGAAACAGUCACGUCAUCGACGCCAGCCACAACGUAACUCACCACCAGCAUCCACACCAUCCGGACGGACAAGCUAACCACGGGCCCGAAAGAAUCCGUCGCUUGAGUCAACACUCUAAGGAAACCACCUUUACGG
rnacentral:sRNA from 1 species